UACGAAGGGGGCUAGCGUUGCUCGGAAUCACUGGGCGUAAAGCGCGCGUAGGCGGGUUCUUAAGUCAGGGGUGAAAUCCUGGAGCUCAACUCCAGAACUGCCUUUGAUACUGGGAAUCUCGAGUCCGGGAGAGGUGAGUGGAACUGCGAGUGUAGAGGUGAAAUUCGUAGAUAUUCGCAAGAACACCAGUGGCGAAGGCGGCUCACUGGCCCGGUACUGACGCUGAGGUGCGAAAGCGUGGGGAGCAAACAGG
rnacentral:rRNA from 1 species